rnacentral:rRNA from 1 species
CCUACGGGUGGCAGCAGUGGGGAAUAUUGCACAAUGGGGGAAACCCUGAUGCAGCGACGCCGCGUGAGUGAUGAAGUAUCUCGGUACGUAAAGCUCUAUCAGCAGGGAAGCAAAUGACGGUACCUGACUAAGUAGCCCCGGCUAACUACUUGCCAGCAUCCGCGGUAAUACGUAGGGGGCAAGCGUUAUCCGGCUUUACUGGGUGUAAAGGGAGCGUAAGCGGCAGCACAAGUAUGGAGUGAAAUCCCUGGGCUUAAACCCGGAACUGCUUUGGAAACUGGGCGGCUGGAGUGCAGGAGGGGUAAGCGGAAGUCCUAGUGUAGCGGUGAAAUGCGUAGAUAUUAGGAGGAACACCGGUGGCGAAGGCGGCUUACUGGACUGUAACUGACGUUGAGGCUCGAAAGCGUGGGGAGCAAACAGGAUUAGAUACCCUUGUAGUC